GCAACAUGAAAAAUUGGCUAAGGUUCCACUCUCUAAAAAUCAAAAGGUGGUUACAAGACCUAUACCAAGUUCCUCAGCAAGUUCAUCCCAUACAGGAAGGAGAGUCAGUAAUACCAGGAAUAUAGCCACACCAAGAGCUGCUUUCCUCCAAGUUCCGACCUCUGUUACAUCGUUCAAGCAUGGUUUCUCUGGUGACCUCUGACAUAUAAGCACAUAUAAUCCCCAAGGAAGUGAUAGAGGUCCACCAAGCACACCCAAGCCCAGAAGCGAGUAAGUUGCUAACCCAAAACCAACCAGUGAACCUUUUCCGAAAGCUCCCUGCACAGCUCUCCCACCAUCAAGACAUCCAACUGGUAGCAUAUUAAAAGCUGACGUAGUCAA
rnacentral:misc_RNA from 1 species